UCCCAGCAUUAGGAUGCAUUCAAGG
rnacentral:piRNA from 1 species